rnacentral:rRNA from 1 species
CCCUUAGAUGUUCUGGGCCGCACGCGCGCUACACUGAUGCAUUCAACGAGCCUAUCCUUGACCGACAGGUCCGGGUAAUCUUUGAAUCUGCAUCGUGACGGGGAUAGAUUAUUGCAAUUAUUAAUCUUCAACGAGGAAUGCCUAGUAGGCGCAAGUCAUCAGCUUGCGUCGAUUACGUCCCUGCCCUUUGUACACACCGCCCGUCGCUCCUACCGAUUGAGUGGUCCGGUGAGGCUUUGGGAUCUGAGCGGAAAGAGCGUUUCGCUGUUUCUGCUCGGAAAGCUCAGUCGAACCUUAUCAUUUAGAGGAAGGAGAAGUCGUAACA